GAUGAACGCUGGCGGCGUGCCUAAUACAUGCAAGUCGAACGCUGGAGAUCUAGCUUGCUGGAUCGCAGGAGUGGCGAACGGGUGAGUAAUACAUAAGCAACCUACCCACGAAGUCUGGGAUAAUCCCUGGAAACGGGGACUAAUACCGGUUAGGUCAUCGGAAGGCUUCUUCUGGUUAUUAAAGGUCAAAAACACUGGUUGAUGGGCUUGUGGCGCAUUAGUUAGUUGGUGAGGUAACGGCCCACCAAGACGAUGAUGCGUAGCCGGCCGGAGAGGGUGAACGGCGAGAGUGGGACUGGGAAACGGCCCAGACUCCUACGGGAGGCAGCAGUAGGGGAGUUUCGGCAAUGGGGGCAACCCUGACCGAGCGACGCCGCGUGAGUGAAGACGGCCUUCGGGUUGUAAAGCUCUGGUGUAAGGGAAGAACGGUAGAGAGAGAAUAUCUAAGUGACGGUACCUGACCAGAAAGCAACGGCUAACUACGUG
rnacentral:rRNA from 1 species